AUGAUCCUGCUUCCUCAUUUGGACUCAUUCACCUCAGCUGACACAUUCAACAGCAGACAGGUUUUUGUAGCAGUCUGUUUCACUGUGGGAGGAUAUGGCUACUACAUCUUUGGCUCUGGAACUAAACUGUCUGUAACAGAUGAGCAGGUAGUGAAGCCCGUGGUGAGCGUGUACCCAGCAGCAUCCAGAGCCCACCUGGAGGGGAACAGCUCCCUGCUGUGUGUGGCCUCAGCCAUGUUUCCUCCUCUGGUCCAGUUCUCCUGGAAAAGACAGAAGAAGAACGGCGGAGAAGCGGAGGAGCUGCCCCUGCUGAGGGAGAGCAGCUGGAGCUCAGAGAGUCGGGACGCACCAUUGCCAUCAGGAUGGUUGAUGGGAGUGAUUCUGACACAUAUAAAUACAGCUGCUGGGUGAAGCACGAGGGGGGCACAGUGGAGGCCCAAACACAACAAGAGGUUCCAGCUCCAGCAGCCUCCUGUCCUCCAGAGAGAGAGCCAGCAGACCUGCCAGCUCUGCAGCCAGCUGACUGUAAGAUCACCUGCUGCCUCUCUGCAUGGACAGCUCCAAUGUCCAAUGAGGGAGCUGGAACAAGUUUAGGGACUUAAAGUUGCACUAAUUGAUCAAAUCUUCAUCCAACAAGCUCUGAUAAAGCCACUGUACACUAGCUGCUCAGCACCAAACAGCAGACAGACCAUAAUAUGUCAGAGAUCAGUUUGUUAGCUGCUUGUGGAGUUCUUCUGCCCCCAAGUGGACACAAACACUACAUCAAUUCAUCCACUUGAAGAAGAAGCUGUGACUGUUUCUAUUUGGACUUUUUCUCCUUGAUCUGAGAGGAAUAACCCGACUGUCUGUCUGUCUCUUUGUGUCUGUCUGUCCUUCAGUGUCCUUCCAGUCUCAGUGCAGGGUGAAGCUGCUCUGCCUGCUGUACACAGUGCUGAUAGUGAAGAGUCUGGUGUACUGCUGUGGACUCUCGCUGCUGAUGAUCCUCACAAACAAGGGACCGUCCACCAACUGCACACAUGCUGACUGACUGUUUUCUGCUCGCCUUUUCUCACCAUCAAAUCUCAUCAAUUCAUCUCAUUCAUCACUUUGAUCAGUAUCACAAAUGUUAGUUAUGAUGUGUUGUGCUUAUUUUGGCUUUUUAUUCAAUAGUUAGAAGAUCAUCUGAAAUAAAUACAUCUUUACAUGUAUUGUUACUCUGAGUUAGAAUUCUUUUUGUACUUAUUGUGAUUUUUAUUGUAGUAACAAAAAUCAUCAGGUAUAUUUUUAUCACAAGUUUUCUGUUUGAUUUGCUUUUGGUUGAUUUUCAAAUGUCAAACAGUGUAGUUGUGUUUGUAAGUGUGAAUAAUAAAGAUUUCAAGAUGAAGAAUUUGAUUCUACUUUCAUUGUGUGAUAAACAACAACCCGUGUGAGUGAAGCACAAACUGACUGUAUCCAAACUUGCUCUCCUGCAGCAGACGGGCUGUGUGGGUUUCUGCUCUGCAGCCUCCACACCGUUAGCUGUGGCUUUUCACUUUAAUAACACAAUGACAGUUACAAGCAUGAACUCUGCUUAAAGAAUGAUUGAAUAGUCAUAAAAG
rnacentral:lncRNA from 1 species